rnacentral:rRNA from 1 species
AACGAACGCUGGCGGCGUGCCUAACACAUGCAAGUCGAACGAGAAAGCUCUUCGGAGUGAGUAAAGUGGCGCACGGGUGAGUAACACGUAGGUUGACCUACCUAACAGUGGGGGAUAACUAGAAGAAAUUCUAGCUAAUACCGCAUACGAACUACCGAUUUGAAUCAGGUAGUUGAAAGAGUGCCUCUGCAUAUGCACUCGCUGACUGAUGGGCCUGCGGGACAUUAGCUUGAUGGUGGGGUAACGGCCUACCUUGGCGACGAUGUCUAGCGGAUCUGAGAGGAUGAUCCGCCACACUGGAACUGAGACACGGUCCAG